rnacentral:rRNA from 1 species
UACGAAGGGGGCUAGCGUUGCUCGGAAUUACUGGGUGUAAAGGGUUCGUAGGCGGUGUGGCAAGUCGGGAGUGAAAUCUCUGGGCUCAACCCAGAGUCUGCUUCCGAAACUGCUGUGCUUGAGUGUGGGAGAGGCGCGUGGAAUUGCAGGUGUAGCGGUGAAAUGCGUAGAUAUCUGCAGGAACACCCGUGGCGAAAGCGGCGCGCUGGACCACUACUGACGCUGAGGAACGAAAGCUAGGGGAGCAAACAGG